rnacentral:rRNA from 1 species
CAGCGUAGGGCGCAAGCGUUGUCCGGAAUUAUUGGGCGUAAAGAGCUCGUAGGCGGUCUGUUGCGUCCGCUGUGAAAACUCGGGGCUUAACCCCGAGCCUGCAGUGGAUACGGGCAGACUAGAGGUAGGUAGGGGAGAAUGGAAUUCCCGGUGUAGCGGUAGAAAUGCGCAGAUAUCGGGAGGAACACCGGUGGCGAAGGCGGUUCUCUGGGCCUUACCCUGACGCUGAGGAGCGAAGCGUGGGGAGC